rfam:Desulfitibacter sp. BRH_c19 BRHa_1004763, whole genome shotgun sequence.
UAGACUGACAGUAAAUUAGGUGAUCAACAGGCCGGACAUGAAAAAACCAUGUCAAUGCUGUUAGCCGCAUUAGCAGGUGCUAAUAUGAUAUAUGGCUUAG